GACGAACGCUGGCGGCGUGCUUAACACAUGCAAGUCGAACGAAGAGCGACGGAAGCUUGCUUCUCUCAAUCUUAGUGGCGAACGGGUGAGUAACGCGUAAUCAACCUGCCCUUCAGAGGGGGACAACAGUUGGAAACGACUGCUAAUACCGCAUACGAUCUAACCUCGGCAUCGAGGAUAGAUGAAAGGUGGCCUCUACAUGUAAGCUAUCACUGAAGGAGGGGAUUGCGUCUGAUUAGCUAGUUGGAGGGGUAACGGCCCACCAAGGCGAUGAUCAGUAGCCGGUCUGAGAGGAUGAACGGCCACAGUGGGACUGAGACACGGCCCAGACUCCUACGGGAGGCAGCAGUGGGGAAUCUUCCGCAAUGGACGAAAGUCUGACGGAGCAACGCCGCGUGAGUGAUGACGGCCUUCGGGUUGUAAAGCUCUGUUAAUCGGGACGAAAGGCCUUCUUGCGAAUAGUGAGAAGGAUUGACGGUACCGGAAUAGAAAGCCACGGCUAACUACGUG
rnacentral:rRNA from 1 species